GGUAGCAUGGCCGAGCGGUCUAAGGCGCUGGUUUAAGGCACCAGUCAUUUCGAUGGCGUGGGUUCGAAUCCCUACUGCUGCCA
rnacentral:tRNA from 1 species